UAUGAUAUAUUAAUGGUGUAGUUGGAAUCCGACUACUAGUCUUUUAUAUUCAUGAACAUAUUACUCUUGGAGGCAACUACAUGUUGCCUCUUUUUU
rnacentral:sRNA from 1 species